UGCUUCAUUAUUUAGUUUAAAAUUUCGGGAAGACAAAAUUCAAGCAUGGUUCAAGAUUUAUACUCUUAUAGAUUAAUUUGUUUUGAUCUCCAUGCUGCUGUUUAUCGGAUUUGAGGCCAGAGCCAACCAUCAUAACCACACAACAUGCAAGUUUUUUGUGUGCAGGUGUUAAACCUGUCAUUAGCAACAAUCUCAGGAUCAUCACUUUCAAGAUGAAAAGCAUCCCAUUGCACUGCCAAUCGAGUUACGGAUCUCUCAUUUUCCCCUUACUUCAAAUCCUCGUGUACGCCCAUGUGAAUGUGGGUGUAUUCACGAGGACACCCUCUGCCCUAUCCCGUCUGGUGUAAUU